CGCGGCCUAUCAGCUUGUUGGUGAGGUAACGGCUCACCAAGGCGACGACGGGUAGCUGGUCUGAGAGGAUGAUCAGCCACAUUGGGACUGAGACAUGGCCCAGACUCCUACGGGAGGCAGCAGUGGGGAAUCUUGCGCAAUGGGCGAAAGCCUGACGCAGCGACGCCGCGUGCGGGAUGACGGCCUUCGGGUUGUAAACCGCUGUCGGGAGGGACGAAGCUCUGACGGUACCUCCAAAGGAAGCACCGGCUAACUCUGUGCCAGCAGCCGCGGUAAUACAGAGGGUGCGAGCGUUGUCCGGAAUCACUGGGCGUAAAGGGCGCGUAGGCGGCCCGAUAAGUAGGGGGUGAAAUUCUGCGGCUCAACCGCAGGACUGCCUUCUAAACUGUCGGGCUUGAGCACGGUAGAGGCUGGUGGAAUUCCCGGUGUAGCUGUGGAAUGCGUAGAGAUCGGGAAGAACAUCGGUGGCGAAGGCGGCCAGCUGGGCCGUUGCUGACGCUGAGGCGCGACAGCGUGGGGAGCAAACAGGAUUAGAUACCCUGGUAGUCCACGCCGUAAACGAUGGGUACUAGGCGUCGGGGGGAGCGACCCCCUCGGUGCCGUCGCUAACGCAGUAAGUACCCCGCCUGGGGAGUACGG
rnacentral:rRNA from 1 species